rnacentral:tRNA from 1 species
UCCCUUGUGGCUCAGCUGGUAAAGAAUCUACCUGCAAUGUGGGAGACCUGGGUUCUAUCCCUGGCUUGGGAA